rfam:Oryza rufipogon genomic scaffold, chr07
AAUAAACCCUGGAUUUCCGUGUCCAAUAUUUGACCGUCCGUCUUAUUUGAAAAAAUUAUGAAAAAAAAAAUUAAAAGACAAGUCACGCAUAAAGUAUUAAUCAUAUUUUAUCAUCUAACAACAAUGAAAAUACUAAUUAUAAAAAAAUUUCAUAUAAGACAUAAGACGGAGUUAAACGUUGGACACGGAAAUCUAAGGUUUGUCUUUUU